rnacentral:rRNA from 1 species
CUAGGCACGAACCCUGAAUGAGCAGGACAUCCUUGAUGAAUGUCCAGACACAGGUGAAUUCUUACACACCCAGAAGAGAUUCUCUCAGACGCACAGGUUACCCUUUUAUAUACAGGGAGGUGGUGUUUCAAAUAACAAUACAGAACCUUUCGGUUUUGUAAUUGGAAUGAGUUAAGUAUAAACCCCUUAACAAGUAUCAAUUGGAGGGCAAGUCUGGUGCCAGCAGCCGCGGUAAUUCCAGCUCCAAUAGCGUAUAUUAAAGUUGUUGCAGUUAAAAAGCUCGUAGUUAAUCUUCUGUUAAUUUUUAUAUAUAAUAUCACGAUAUUUAUAUAAUAUUAACAUAAUUCAUAUUACUUUUUAGUAUAUGAAACUUUACUUUGAGAAAAUUAGAGUGCUUAAAGCAGGCUAUUGCCUUGAAUACUCCAGCAUGGAAUAAUAUUAAGGAUUUUUAUUCUUCUUAUUGGUUCUAGAAUAAAAAUGAUGAUUAAUAGGGACAGUUGGGGGCAUUUGUAUUUAACAGUCAGAGGUGAAUUUUCUUUAGAA